GUGCCAGCCGCCGCGGUAAGACGAACCGUGCGAACGUUAUUCGGAAUCACUGGGCUUAAAGCGCGUGCAGGCGGGCCGGCAUGUCGGUCGCUGAAAGCCCCCGGCUCAACCGGGGAAGCGGCGCCGAGACGAGUGGCCUGGAGGGGGGUAGGGGGACCUGGAACUUCCGGUGGAGCGGUGAAAUGCGUUGAGAUCGGAAGGAACGCCCGUGGCGAAAGCGAGGUCCUGGACCCCACCUGACGCUGAGACGCGAAAGCCAGGGGAGCGAACGGGAUUAGAAACCCCGGUAGUCC
rnacentral:rRNA from 1 species